ACAAGUUCUAAUCAUUUGUUUUAGUUUAUUAAGCAUGUCGAGUUUGUUGCAGUCACGGUUUGAUUUGUCCAUGGCAAGAAAUCAUUGGGUUUGGAUUCAAUUUCUUCUUCUUUUUCGGCUUUGGUAGCUGAAAUCGCUGUUCUUCUCCAUGAUUGCCCUAAAUUUAGCUCGGUUUCUUAUGGUGUACUUUCCCUUUAUGUUGUUGUUGUUCUUCCCGAAUAUUGAAUAUUGAAUAUUGUAACCAGACUUUACAAACCAAACACAACAUUCUCUUGGGGAAUCAAAAUGUGGCAAUGAAUGUUUGGAUUCUCUUGCAAUCAUUAUUGUCUUCAAAAGGGGACCAAUUGGUUUCGAGUCGCUCUCCUUUUUUGGGUGUUGUCCCGAAGACCUCGGCCUCUGUCCAUGUCUUUUGCCGACAAUCUCUUUUGGACCAUUGUCUGAUGAAUUUUACAAUUCUCAUUCAAAUUUGAAUGAAAAUGACACAACUUUCUCUGACAGUUAAACGGGAGAAGUUUCAAACCCACCACCACUCACAUUGCUGGUGGAUCAAAAACUCUGAUCAUUCUUUACCAUUCCAACUGUUUGAUAUUUUGCCGCACCCAAUUCUUCACCACCAAUUCAAUCACAAAUCCCAUUAUUCCAUUAUUCCAUUAUUCAAAUUCAAGGACCAGAACUUGUCUACGUAUGAGAAUUGGGAAUCAUUGAAAACAAAUCUUUUUCUUUUCUUUUUUGGUUAAUGCUUUGAAUGGGAGUUGGAAUGUGACGUCUUUUUGUACAUCUGUCGUUGUGUCGUGGAGUUCUAACGAGUUUGAAUCGACCUGUUCAUGUCUCGCAUUUACGGUUCAAACUUGUGAUGAAUAAAGUGAAUAUCUUUUUGGAAAGAGAAUCUGUCUUCUUCAUGAAGUAUAUAGAGAGGGGGAAUGAUUAAAAGAGAUGUGGGGUUGAAUGUACUGAUGCAAACACUACAUUAUAUUUGCCUGUAGGGACUCCAAUUUCUGUUCCUUUCCACCUUUUUCUCCUUUUUUGAAUUAUUAAUUUCACUGUUUCUUACCCAAUCAAAAGCAUAAGAAUUAGAGAGAGAGGACAUUGAGGUUUCCAUAUGUGUGUGUGUAUAUAACACACACACACACACACACACACACACACACACACACAUAUGCGAACCUCGAAGCCCCUGUGGAUAUGUUCCAUAAAGAAGAGAGUUUUCAGUAGCUAUUUUCCCUUUGUGUAUUUAUUAGUAUCUUUGAACUGCCGGAAUACCUCUGCACAUAUAUUGAGGUAAAGCUGCCGGAAUGGAGACAUCCCAGCCUCUUUCUAUUGAUAGCUUUUCAUAUAGUUGGCUAGUGAAUAUAAAGCCAUCUCUAGAUAGCUCAGGCAACAACUCCUUUAGGACCUCUCUCGACGCUUCCGAUGAAGCCUCCUCCUUCAUCGAGAUGGACCCGAGAAUGCCACCGUCCAAGAGAUUUUUUAGGAAUUCUCAAGAUUUCAAAUUUGACUUCCCUGUCUCACCGCCUUCUCUCACUUUUGUACAUGCCGACCAGCUGAUUUCCAAUGGUUGCCUUGUGCCUUUUUUCAUUGACCCAGUGAAAGUUCAGAAAUACGAGGAUGAAGAUUUCAAUUCAAAUUUUCCAAAAUCUUCCCAUACAGAAAACAACACCCAUCCAGCCAAUACUUCUGACUGUUCGUCGAUGAGAAAGUGUCGGAAACUAUCGAAAAAAGUAUUGCAGAAGUAUUUUAGUUUUUUCAAGCCGUUGUACCAAAGAAUCCGAGGCCAUAGAGCAUCAAGCUCCAAACCAGAACAUGUUGGUAGAAGAUCCAAAUCUAUGAAGAAUUGGGAAUAUUCAUACGACGCAUCGCCACGAAUAAGUGUAGCUUACUCUGCCGAUGAUUGGCGAAGAUCCUGUGAUUCUGAGAGCUCAAUCUACGAGGCAGUCCUCCAUUGCAAGAAAUCUAUAGGAGGACGAGAUUGAGUAAUUUCAGACGAAAAAUCUGGAGGAAGGUGAAAGCAGAGAAGAUGAUAAAACAAAAGAGCAAUUGAAGACAGAGAAGCAUAGAAGAGAAAAAUGAGACAUGAAAUGAUAACAUCCACUAAGCUUUUUGUCCCUUUCGUCUACUUUUUUUCUUGGAUUCAAAUGUACCAUACCAUUUUGUCUGUGAUGAAAAUUUCAGACCUUACAGAGGAACAGGAAAGGUGACCAUAAAUUUUGUUUGUCCUCGACUGUUAUGUAAUAAAAAUCUUUUAACAAGGGAACGCUUGUUUCGGUAUGCCCGUGACCGAGAGAGCAGGUUCCUCGAGGUUCAGACUGAUAUGAAUAUAUUUGCCCUUUCUUGACAGUGAACUGAUCUAAAAGACUUGGUAGCUAUUGAAUGAGGUUAUAGGGAAAUUGUGGUGGUGGGGUCCCCUAAGUUGCUUUUGUUAAGCAAAGGAAUCCUUAUCAAUGUUGUCCUCUUUUCAUUUGCACAUGAAACCACUCCCAACUUGCUUUUUCAUUACAUGUUCUUUGUUCACAAUAAUUGUUGGGUUUUG